UACGUAGGUGGCGAGCGUUGUUCGGAAUUAUUGGGCGUAAAGGGUGCGUAGGCGGCCUGACAAGUCUGAUGUGAAAUCCCUGGGCUCAACCCAGGGCCUGCAUCGGAAACUGUCGGGCUUGAGUAUGGGAGAGGUGAGUGGAAUUUCCGGUGUAGCGGUGAAAUGCGUAGAUAUCGGAAGGAACACCUGUGGCGAAAGCGGCUCACUGGACCACAACUGACGCUGAGGCGCGAAAGCUAGGGGAGCAAACAGG
rnacentral:rRNA from 1 species